AGCCUGGAGCUCCAUAUGGAAAAGCAUCGGUGGCACAGCAGGGUGAGGAAGCAGAACUGUUACUCUCCCGACCACACAAAUUAAGGAUUAUAAAUAAAAAUUAUGAAAGCCAAGAGAAGAGAAUUUUUAAUAGCUUGAGGAUUCAUCUGGACGCCCUGAUUUUACUGUGCCCUGAAAUAAUCUGCUGGGUUGUGUGUCGCCAAUAUGGGUGUCCCAUCCCCUCGCUCCUUGAGAGGAAUGUUCCCCUUUGUGGGAGUCACCCAGCCCCACCAUUUGUAGGCUUGGAGCAGAUUUCAGGCUGAUCCUCAAGGGUUGUGCUCUUCAGGCAACACUGAGACAGCAGCACAGGUCUGUCACACCUCAGCAAACAUCCCCACAGGAGAACUGGCUCGGGCAGAGCCCAAGGAGGGCUGAACAACCCCUGAAUUGAGGGGCACAAAUAUACAGCCUUUCCUUUCAAAUUCAGGAUGCCUCUGUUUAUUUAUGCUGCCGAAUGCAAACUCUUUGGAGGAGGCAUCCCUGGAGCACUGGGAGGAGGUGCAGGGCUCUUCUGGAUACCAUGAGAGCCCACCAGGCAUUUUUGGGGCUCCCAGCAAAGGGCUGCUCCCUCCAGGAGAAGGGAGGGAGAAGAGGAGGAGAAGGAGGAGAAGGAACACGUGCACCCCAAACCUCCUGAGGCAGAGGAGCUGAGCCAACAUGCAGAUGAGGGACAGCACAGCACGAGAGGGAUUUUCACUGCCCUGUGUGUCCCUGUGUGGCGCAAGAGGAAUUCUGGAGGAGUAAGUCACAGCUGCUCUGUCUGAGCUGCAAUGCAGCCCUGCCACAUACCUGCCUCCUCACAUUCCCCCUCCACGCUCCAAACCUCGGCAUUUUUAGCAUCUUGUUCCCCCUCUUUGCUGUCCCCAGUGAGAAGAUGGUGUGCAGGCAGCAGUGAAGCCUUUCCCUGACCAUCAGCUGCUGCCCUUCAGCCCUGCAGCUGCUCAGAUCAGAAAUAUGGGGCCAAAUAAUCCCCUUGGACAGCCAUCCAUUGGCCAGGUACUUCAAAAUAAUCUAAAUGGCUCCUUUACCUAAAUUCAUUACAAGAAAGUAACUCUUCUGCUUAUUUCUGAGGCACUGUUGCAGAGAAAGGCAGCAAAAAAAACCAGAACUCACUUUCAGCAUAGGUCCCCAUUAAAACAAAAAAAUUAUGAUCAAGAAGGACUGAAAAAAAGUCUUAACUAUGUAGAUUACCACAGAAAAGAGUACUUUGGAAUGUUUCUUUCUUUAUCAGUUUUUUUUUCCUUUUCCCUUCCUAGCUUCUUCACUCUUGAGCACCAUAGCUAGUUUUCCUCCACUCCUACAAAAAACCAAAAAACAAACAAAACAAAACAAAACAACCUGAAAAUAUCAGAAAAAAAUAUCUCAGACGAUUGCAGCUAGAUGCUGAUUCAAUUAUCCUUCAAUUGAUACCUAACUCCCCCUUUUGUCUCUGGCUCACCGUGUGCCAAAACACACAGGAAUAAAACCACAGAAAAUUGUGAGGACAGACAAUUCCUAAAAUAGAACCAAACACACGGGCACAAAACAAAAACCAAGCCAAACCUAUUUUUUUCCUUUGACUCUCUGAGCUAAUGAUGUGACAGUUUGGAAAUGAGCCAUGCAGAGGGGACAGAGAAUUAAAGAGGAACUUGGACUGGAGAGGAAAGUUUCAGCUCUGUGCUCUGACCUGCUGGGCUUUGGCCACUCCAGAUCAGAGACUCCCCCAGGUGAAGCUUUCACUCACACUGGGAAUAUUCAUUCCCAAAUGUCGAAUUGGCAUUUUCCCUGCUGCCUCUGUGCACCUCUGGAGGAGCCUGGCUCUCCCUUUGCUCCAACCUCCCAUUAAGGAGUUGAAAUUAGCAAUGAGAUUCCCCAUUAGCCUGCUUUUCUCCAAACUAAUGAAACCCAGCUCCCCCAGCCCCUCCUCAUACAUCAUCCAGCCCACUGAGCACAAACCACUUCUAAUGAAGUCUAUUUCUACACUAACAAUAAGUAAAAUUUAAUGAACUUAAAUACUCUUACAUAAGAAGAACUGCUCUAAAAAUACAACCUUUCAAUAGAGCAAAAUGUGGCCAGGUUAACAAUUUUGCUCUGGGUCCCAGAAUGUUAAUUUAGCAAGAAAUAAAUAACUCCCAGCCUUUCAUCUUAUCUUUCUGACAGAUGUUUCCCCUAUAAAAAGGGUGUCAUAAUUGUUUUUGUCAGUGUUAUAAUUAAAAUUGCUAUGCAGCUGACAUACAGUUUUUAAUGGUUUCCCCUAGGAUUAUAGCAGAUGUUGCCUUAUUAGAUCAGGGCUCUCCUGGAGUAAGAAAUGUCAUUGGCAUAAUCAAGACACAUCUUUAAGCCUCUCAAAGUAGACUGUCACAAUUUUCCCAGUAACAUUUGACCCUAAGGGAUGAAAUAUAUCCUGCUUUUCUACGGAGAAAGUUUUCUGAGGAGUUUGAAAGAAACACUGACAAAAAAAAAAAAAAAUCCAGUUUUUUCUACAGCCAGAAAUAGCUGGAAGAUACAGGAGGGAGCCCUGACAACUGCACCAGCAAGGCCAAAGAAACUGUGGCUUUUUAAUGGCAAAAAUAUUCACAGGCAAAGGUAAAGAAUCAGCUAAAAUCUGGUGAGGAGCUGCAAAAUAGCAGUUACUGGGCUCUUAUUAUAGGAAAAGUUACAACCCAAUGACACAAGUGUUUUUAAAUAAAGCAAGGUGGAAGAGCAAGCUUGAUUCUAAGGGCAGUUUGGAUCCCUGGUGUUCACUGCAAACCCGGGGAAGCCAAGGGGGAAGCAAGAGGAAAGGGUGGCUCCAAUGGUCAGCCAGCUGGGAAGGGCACAUGGGUCCCUUGUCUGCAGGCACACAAAGUGUUUAAUAUCAUAAAAUAAAUAAAUAAUAUCAUAAAUAAACAAUAUCAUAAAUAAAUAAUACCAUAAACAAAUAAUUUGUAGGUGAUUUCGCAAGAGAAUCAGGCAAGUUAGGUGGUUCCAAACUAAAAAAAGCCACCCAGUCCUGCUUGUCCACAAAAUCAGGGGGAACUCACUUGGACAAAAUAAAUCCAGCAGAAAGUAACUUUACAUUUUGGUGUCACCGAGCUCCUUGCAAUUUUCCAAGGGCCACCAAAUUUAUUUUUUUUUUCCCCAAGGUGUGAGGAACGCCAACUCUGUUUCACAGGCUGCAGCGUCAGGAUUCGCAGGCUGCGGCUUCGCCGUGCUGCAUCCCGUUUUAUAUUAAGAACUCCCCAAAAUAAUUGCGGAAGGUGCGACAUGACAUAAUCCCUGAAGUUCCACAGCACCCAGUGUCGCAGUUUGCUGGGGAAAAUCACAGAAUCAGGGUGGAAAAGAUGGCUUGAGAGCAUCUUGAGAGUCCAACUUUUGACAGUGCACCAAACCGUGGCACCGAGUGCUGAGCACCUCCAGGGAUGGUGACUCCACCAUCUAAUGCCUUAAUCAGCCUUUCUGUGAAGAAAUUCAUUCUUCAAGAAAUAGUACAAAUAGACUAUUUCCAUUUGUAAUUUUAGGGGUUAACGCUCCUAAUCUCACCCAUCUCGACCAGAGGCGUUAAUUAAAAAACAAGCAUGGAAAAAGUCCAGCAUGAAUUAACUCACGUAUAGCCAGGGAGUGGGGAGGAAACAAAAUGAAAAAACCAACAUCCGUCUGUCGGAAUGACAUAAAACACCUUUUUUUUCCCCCCACUUUUCCUCCCCGAGCCGCUCUCAGCAUCCCCAGCGCUGGCGGAGCGCGGCUGUGCCGGUACCAGCGACGACA